rnacentral:tRNA from 1 species
AUUUAAGUAGUUUAUUUUUAAAAUAAAGAUUUGUGGUUUCUUUGAAGUUUUUAUACCUUAAGUU